rnacentral:lncRNA from 1 species
UGGCGCCUGCCGCACUGCUUAUAGGAGUAGAAAUUGGGGGCCAGAGCUCACUGGUGACGUCGUCGUCACGUGACCAAGAGCUGCCUAGAGCUGAAGUCCUGCUAGUCGCCUCUGUCUGGGUACCAGCCCCCUAUUACUCUGCAGGCGUGUGAAGGAAGGAGAAAAGUAGCCCGGGACCGUGCAGUCCCCUGUCUGCAGGUUUGUAGCUCUGUUGGCCCGUAGGUCGCUGUAAAAGUCGCGGCGAGGGAAGGAGCAAACUGCCUUGGGACCCUGCAGCUGUCCUUCUGCCAGGCUGUCUGUUCAUCAGUCACCGUGGGAGGAGUUCUGACAACAGAAGACAAGGGAAGAAGAACGAAUUUACCUGACUUUGAUAGAGAUUCAUCAAAAGACAGCUACAGGAGCCUGGGAGAGGCUGAAGACCACUACCCUCCACCAUUACACACCCUGGCCCUAAGAUUCUUCUUAAACAAGUGGAGAAACGCCUUCUCCCAUCCUGCCUCU